rnacentral:rRNA from 1 species
GAUGAACGCUGGCGGCGUGCCUAAUACAUGCAAGUCGAGCGAACGGACGAGAAGCUUGCUUUUCUGAUGUUAGCGGCGGACGGGUGAGUAACACGUGGAUAACCUACCUAUAAGACUAGGAUAACUUCGGGAAACCGGAGCUAAUACCGGAUAAUAUUUUGAACCGCAUGGUUCAAAAGUGAAAGACGGUCUUGCUGUCACUUAUAGAUGGAUCCGCGCUGCAUUAGCUAGUUGGUAAGGUAACGGCUUACCAAGGCAACGAUGCAUAGCCGACCUGAGAGGGUGAUCGGCCACACUGGAACUGAGACACGGUCCAGACUCCUACGGGAGGCAGCAGUAGGGAAUCUUCCGCAAUGGGCGAAAGCCUGACGGAGCAACGCCGCGUGAGUGAUGAAGGUCUUCGGAUCGUAAAACUCUGUUAUUAGGGAAGAACAUAUGUGUAAGUAACUGUGCACAUCUUGACGGUACCUAAUUAGAAAGCCACGGCUAACUACGUG